CCUUAAAACACACAGAAAUCAAAGGUCGAAUAAACUAGAAAGUACUUGAAAUUAAUUUAAUAAUAAGAAUAAUCACAGGGAAGCAGCUUAUUCGAAAGCUUCUUAUUCGGAAAGAGGAUAAUCUUUAGUUCCUCGUAGGAGCAAUAUCUUGAAAAAAUCACAAACUUUCUGAUCGGGAAGUUGUUGAAGUACAACUUAAAAU
rnacentral:lncRNA from 1 species